GAGACAGCAGUAGCCACGGUAAUACGAAGGGUGCAAGCGUUACUCGGAAUUACUGGGCGUAAAGCGUGCGUAGGUGGUGGUUUAAGUCCGUUGUGAAAGCCCUGGGCUCAACCUGGGAAUUGCAGUGGAUACUGGGUCACUAGAGUGUGGUAGAGGAUAGUGGAAUUUCCGGUGUAGCAGUGAAAUGCGUAGAGAUCGGAAGGAACAUCUGUGGCGAAGGCGACUAUCUGGGCCAACACUGACACUGAGGCACGAAAGCGUGGGGAGCAAACAGGAUUAGAUACCCCCGUAGUCCCUGUCUCUUAUAA
rnacentral:rRNA from 1 species